GUUUCCAUAGUGUACUGGUUAUCACGUUUGCCUAACACGUAAAAGGUCCCUGGUUCGAAACCAGGUGGAAACA